rnacentral:rRNA from 1 species
AGCGGGGCCCAUCCCGUAAGGCUAAAUACUCCCGAGAGACCGAUAGCGAACCAGUACUGUGAAGGAAAGGUGAAAAGAACCUCGAACAGAGGAGUGAAACAGACCCUGAAACCAUGCGCCUACAAGCGGUCGGAGCAUGUUAAAGUGUGACGGCGUGCCUUUUGCAUAAUGAACCUACGAGUUACUCUCGCUGGCAAGGUUAAGCGAUUCAGUCGCGCAGCCGAAGCGAAAGCAAGUCCGAACAAGGCGUACAGUCAGCGGGAGUAGACGCGAAACCAAGUGAUCUACCCUUGGUCAGGUUGAAGGUUGGGUAACACCAACUGGAGGACCGCACCGAUAAGCGUUGAAAAGCUUACGGAUGAACUGAGGGUAGGAGUGAAAGGCCAAUCAAACUUGGAGAUAGCUCGUACUCCCCGAAAUGCAUUUAGGUGCAGCCUCGAAGCAAAGUGAUAGAGGUAGAGCGACUGAUAAGAUGCGAGGGCUUCACCGCCUAUCAAGUCUUGACAAACUCCGAAUACUAUCACUUGAUCUUCGGGAGUGAGGGCAUGGGUGCUAAGGUCCAUGUCCGAAAGAGGAACAACUCAGACCACCAGCUAAGGUCCCGAAAUAAGGGCUAAGUUGAACAAACGAAGUAAAACUGCAAAGACAGCUAGGAUGUUGGCUUGGAAGCAGCCAUUCAUUUAAAGAGUGCGUAACAGCUCACUAGUCGAGGAGUUUUGCAUGGAUAAUAAUCGGGCAUAAGCCCUUUACCGAAGCUGUGGAUGUCGCAAGACAUGGUAGGGGAGCAUUCCGGCGGCGACGAAGGCCGUCCUCGAGGACGACUGGAGCUCCCGGAAAAGCAAAUGUAGGUAUAAGUAACGAUAAAGGGGGCGCGAAACCCCCUCGCCAUAAGACUAAGGAUUCCUGAUCAACGCUAAUCGGAUCAGGGUAAGUCGGGCCCUAAGGCGCAGCCGAACGGCGCAGCCGAUGGAAGAAACGGUAAAGAUUCCGUUACUGGAUAUAGGAGCGAUGUGGAGACGGAGAAGUGACACACCCGCCUGCCGACGGAAGCGCAGGUUAAAGGAAGUAGGUAAACGCCGGGCAGGCAAAUCCGCCCAGCGUGCCGAAGCUGACAGUAUCGAGAGCCCCCGGGCAAUCGAAUAGCGGUGGUAACCAGGCUCCCAAGAAAAUCCGCUAAGCAUAUUCUAUAUCCACCCGUACCCCAAACGGACACACGUAGUCGGGUAGAAUAUACCAAGGCGCUCGAAAGACUCACGGUUAAGGAACUAGGCAAAUUGACCCUGUAACCUCGGGAAAAAGGGUCCCCAGUAAGAUGGGGCGCAGAGAAUAGGUCCAGGCAACUGUUUAACAAAAACACAGGGCUGUGCAAAAUUUGAAGAUGAAGUAUACAGCCUGACACCUGCCCGGUGCCGGAAGGUUAAGAGGAGAGCUAAUCGCAAGAGAAGGCUUGAAUUGAAGCCCCGGUAAACGGCGGCCGUAACUAUAACGGUCCUAAGGUAGCGAAAUUCCUUGUCGGGUAAGUUC